AGAGUUUGAUCAUGGCUCAGAACGAACGCUGGCGGCAGGCUUAACACAUGCAAGUCGAGCGCCCCGCAAGGGGAGCGGCAGACGGGUGAGUAACGCGUGGGAAUCUACCCUUCACUACGGAACAACUCCGGGAAACUGGAGCUAAUACCGUAUACGUCCUUCGGGAGAAAGAUUUAUCGGUGAUGGAUGAGCCCGCGUUGGAUUAGCUAGUUGGUGGGGUAAUGGCCUACCAAGGCGACGAUCCAUAGCUGGUCUGAGAGGAUGAUCAGCCACACUGGGACUGAGACACGGCCCAGACUCCUACGGGAGGCAGCAGUGGGGAAUAUUGGACAAUGGGCGCAAGCCUGAUCCAGCCAUGCCGCGUGAGUGAUGAAGGCCCUAGGGUUGUAAAGCUCUUUCGCAGGUGAAGAUAAUGACGGUAACCUGAGAAGAAGCCCCGGCUAACUUCGUGCCAGCAGCCGCGGUAAUACGAAGGGGGCUAGCGUUGUUCGGAAUUACUGGGCGUAAAGCGCACGUAGGCGGAUACUUAAGUUAGGGGUGAAAUCCCAGGGCUCAACCCUGGAACUGCCUCUAAUACUGGGUAUCUCGAGUCCGAGAGAGGUGAGUGGAAUUCCGAGUGUAGAGGUGAAAUUCGUAGAUAUUCGGAGGAACACCAGUGGCGAAGGCGGCUCACUGGCUCGGUACUGACGCUGAGGUGCG
rnacentral:rRNA from 1 species